AUCCGGCUGACGAGUCCCAAAUAGGACGAAACGCACGUCAAACUGGAU
rnacentral:hammerhead_ribozyme from 1 species